rnacentral:rRNA from 1 species
UACGUAGGUGGCAAGCGUUGUCCGGAUUUAUUGGGUUUAAAGGGUGCGUAGGCGGCCCUGUAAGUCAGUGCUGAAAUAUCCCAGCUUAACUGGGAGGGUGGCAUUGAUACUGCGGGGCUAGAGUACAGAUGAGGUAGGCGGAAUUGACGGUGUAGCGGUGAAAUGCUUAGAUAUCGUCAAGAACACCUAUAGCGAAGGCAGCUUACUAGGCUGUAACUGACGCUGAGGCACGAAAAGUGUGGGGAUCAAACAGG